AAGAAGCAAGUUUGUCCUACCGCUUGGCUGUGCAGUGCAACAAAGGUACUACAUGACAAAAUCCCUAACAGGACUAAAGCUCGAUUUAGGCUGGGGUAUGGCUUAGACGUGGUGGUGUCCCUAUAACGGGAGGUGUGCACAAGCCCAUAGGUCUGCAUCUAAAAGUGCAUCUUCAAGUCCUACGGAACACUUGAAUCAUCUUGUUAAAGCUGUGAUGGGACAGUUUGUCUGAAGUAGACUAAUAACUAUUGACUUGGAAAGGCAAUUCAAAAACGGCACUCUACCUUCACACUGGGAAGACCUUUUGUUCAAGAACUGUUUGGCUUUGCCUUCUGUGUGGAUUCUCAUGUGUGUGUUUAAACUUAAUUAAACCUGUCUAUAAACUUA